GGGAAUAUUGGACAAUGGGCGAAAGCCUGAUCCAGCAAUGCCGCGUGUGUGAAGAAGGUCUUCGGAUUGUAAAGCACUUUCGACGGGGACGAUGAUGACGGUACCCGUAGAAGAAGCCCCCGGCUAACUUCGUGCCAG
rnacentral:rRNA from 1 species